rnacentral:rRNA from 1 species
GCGGUAAUUCCAGCUCCAAUAGCGUAUAUUAAAGUUGUUGCGGUUAAAAAGCUCGUAGUUGGAUCUGUGUUUCACGCUGUCGGUUCACCGUUUUGUCGGUGUCUAACUGACAUGUCGUGGUACGUCCUGCCGGUUGGCGGCGUUGGCGUUUCCUUACGGUUGCGUCGCGUCUGCCAGUCCCAAUCCUGUCGCGGUGCUCUUCACCGAGUGUCGAGGCGGGCCGGCACGUUUACCUUGAACAAAUUUGAGUGCUUAAAGCAGGCUAUAAUCGCCGGAAAACUGUGUGCAUGGAAUAAUAUAAUAGGACCGCGGUUCUAUUUUGUUGGUUUUCAGAAUCCGAGGUAAUGAUUAAUAGGGACCGGCGGGGGCAUUAGUAUUGCGACGUUAGAGGUGAAAUUCUUGGAUCGUCGCAAGACUAACCUAAGCGAAAGCAUUUGCCAAGGAUGCUUCCAUUAAUCAAGAACGAAAGUUAGAGGUUCGAAGGCGAUCAGAUACCGCCCUAGUUCUAACCAUAAACGAUGCCAGCCAGCGAUCCGUCGAAGUUCCUCCGAUGACUCGACGGGCAGCUUCCGGGAAACUAAAGCAUUUGGGUUCCGGGGGAAGUAUGGUUGCAAAGCUGAAACUUAAAGGAAUUGACGGAAAGGCACCACCAUGGAGUGGAGCCUGCGGCUUAAUUUGACUCAACACGGGAAAACUUACCAGGUCCAGACAUAGGUAGGAUUGACAGAUUGAGAGCUCUUUCUUGAUUUGGUGGGUGGUGGUGCAUGGCCGUUCUUAGUUGGUGGAGCGAUUUGUCUGGUUAAUUCCGAUAACGAACGAGACUCUGGCAUGCUAACUAGUUACGCGACCCCCGAGCGGUCGGCGUCCAACUUCUUAGAGGGACAAGUGGCGUUCAGCCACCCGAGAUUGAGCAAUAACAGGUCUGUGAUGCCCUUAGAUGUCCGGGGCUGCACGCGCGCUACACUGACUGGCUCAGCGUGUGCCUACCCUACGCCGGCAGGCGCGGGUAACCCGUUGAACCCCAUUCGUGAUGGGGAUCGGGGAUUGCAAUUAUUCCCCAUGAACGAGGAAUUCCCAGUAAGUGCGGGUCAUAAGCUUGCGUUGAUUAAGUCCCUGCCCUUUGUACACACCGCCCGUCGCUACUACCGAUUGA